rnacentral:rRNA from 1 species
AUUGAACGCUGGCGGCAGGCCUAACACAUGCAAGUCGAGCGGAUGAAGGGAGCUUGCUCCUGGAUUCAGCGGCGGACGGGUGAGUAAUGCCUAGGAAUCUGCCUGGUAGUGGGGGAUAACGUCCGGAAACGGGCGCUAAUACCGCAUACGUCCUGAGGGAGAAAGUGGGGGAUCUUCGGACCUCACGCUAUCAGAUGAGCCUAGGUCGGAUUAGCUAGUUGGUGGGGUAAAGGCCUACCAAGGCGACGAUCCGUAACUGGUCUGAGAGGAUGAUCAGUCACACUGGAACUUGGACACGGUCCAGACUCCUACGGGAGGCAGCAGUGGGGAAUAUUGGACAAUGGGCGAAAGCCUGAUCCAGCCAUGCCGCGUGUGUGAAGAAGGUCUUCGGAUUGUAAAGCACUUUAAGUUGGGGGGAAGGGCAGUAAGUUAAUACCUUGCUGUUUUGACGUUACCAACAGAAUAAGCACCGGCUAACUUCGUG